rnacentral:rRNA from 1 species
GACGAACGCUGGCGGCGUGCUUAACACAUGCAAGUCGAACGGAAAGGCCCUGCUUUUGUGGGGUGCUCGAGUGGCGAACGGGUGAGUAACACGUGAGUAACCUGCCCUUGACUUUGGGAUAACUUCAGGAAACUGGGGCUAAUACCGGAUAGGAGCUCCUGCUGCAUGGUGGGGGUUGGAAAGGUUCGGCGGUUGGGGAUGGACUCGCGGCUUAUCAGCUUGUUGGUGGGGUAGUGGCUUACCAAGGCUUUGACGGGUAGCCGGCCUGGGAGGGUGACCGGCCACAUUGGGACUGAGAUGCGGCCCAGACUCCUACGGGAGGCAGCAGUGGGGAGUAUUACACAAUAGGCGGAAGCCUGAUGCAGCAACGCCGCGUGCGGGAUGACGGCCUUCGGGUUGUAAACCGCUUUCGCCUGUGACGAAGCGUGAGUGACGGUAAUGGGUAAAGAAGCACCGGCUAACUACGUG